UGACUCAGACACACACACACAC
rnacentral:misc_RNA from 1 species